UCUGUAUUAAAAAAAAAAAGCAUUUAGCAAUAAUGUUGUGGUGUAAAGGUGGGUGGGAUCAUGUGAUGCUAAAGUUGAAGUCUCCACAUGGGGCACAAAAGCACUGUGAAUUUGAAGAGAGGAUAUGACGACUGCAGCUUUCGUUUAUUCGUUAUCUGCAAAAUGGUAGAAAGAAGGCAUUGUUAAUUGGUUAGGAGAUCACUUUGAUUGAGACGCAUCAUAUCUGCCUUACCAAACCAACUUGAUUACCAAGAAGACUAACUCAUCUGAAUCAAAAUAAAAUAAUUUAGUUCGAUUUAGUUCAUUUGAUGAAAUAAAACAAAAUUUUUUUAAUUUUGACUCAUUUUAUCCACAUUAAACUAUUAAACUUUAUCAUGUACUAAUUUCAGAGUUGAAUACAAAUUAUCAAUAUCAUUAAUGACUUGUCAGAAAAAAUAAUAAAUAGUCUCUUUUAUUAUUGAUUAUAAAAAAAAUACUUAUUCUAAAUAAAAUUAAUUAUUGUGAUUAAAUUAAUUACUUAUUAUUAUAAUAAUAUGUAUAAAUAAGUAUGAAAAGGUAGGAAUAUUCUAUUUAAAAUGUUGAGAAAAUUACAUUUUAAUUAUUUAUAUUUUUGCGCUUUUACAUUUUAGAAAUUAAAAUAAUUUUUAUUGUUUCAGAAUCUGAACUUUCAGACUGUUAGCAAUUUAAGAAUUCAGUGGCUAAUGACAUUAAAUAUGCUGAUAUGACAUGCUGAUAUUAUCGUCAUGUCAUCAAUCUUUUCCUUUAUAAUUUAAGUAUAAAAGUUUAAAAGUAUAAGUUUUUAAAUAACAAAUAAAAUAAAAUUUUAAUCAUUAAUAAUAAAAGUGUAUAACUUUCAAAAUAUAAAAAAAGAAAAAGAAAAUAGGAAAUAGAGUGAGUGAGGGAGAGAAGAGAGAGUAGUGAGAUAGAGGGGGAAUGGGACAAAAACAAAAAAUUCUCUCUAUCUCUCACUCUCUCUCUAUUUUCUCUUAUGCCUCUCUAUCUUACUUUAUUUCUCUUCUAAUUUUUUUUCUCACUACUUGAUAGUAUGUCUAUUCAACUCUCUUCUCCUAAAAUUUAUCCAUAGGAGUAAAAGAGAAAUUUUGACAGAAAAGCAAAGUGAGAUAGAGAGGUACAAGAGAAGAGAGAAAUAUUUUCUCUUACAAUUGUCUCUUUCUUCCUCUCUAUCUCACUAUCUCUCUCUUCUCUCCCUCUCUUCUCUCACUCUUUUCCUUAUUUUUUUAUUCAUUUUGAAAGUUAUAUGCUUUUACUGUUAAGGGUUGAAACUUUAUUUUAUUUAUAAUUUAAGGAUUUGUAUUUUUAAAUUUUUGCACUCAGAUAAUGUUAACAUAAAAUGAUGGACCCAUUGAAAUUGCGACGCAUGUACAAAAAAAGAAAGGGACCAUACCAGCCCGUCCGAUCCGACCAUCUUACGGGAGGACCACCCGUCAUAGAAUGCAAGUCCGACCUCAUACAUCUCCAACCUCACCCAUGCAAGGAGUGCGCAAGCCGACCUCAUUAAAGCAUACAGAUUCCCAAUAGGGUCAUCAUUGCACGUGGUGGUAAAACUGACAGAUAAGACGCAAGUGAUGGACAUAGCAUAGCGAAAACGACUCAUCAUUUAUUAGCUGAUUACCCACCAUAAAUGAGCUGCUUGACUUUUUUGUCACAACACUCCACCAUCAUGUCCGAUAGGACGAUCCAUUAGAAUGCACCAGAGCAAUCAGGGUAUUAAUAAUCCUGAACCAAUUAUACAAAGAGACGGAUUUUUUAGUAAAGCUCAGAUCUUAGUAGCUUUGGACACUCGAAGAAAAAAAGAAUUCUCAACAUCCUUAACCCCAAAAAAUCAUUCUGAUCCCCUAUCCACUCUUAACCACCCAGUCAGAUCCAUUAACUUCUCCAUGAAUCAAACUCUCACUUAUGUGUCAUCAUCUCCUUGACCAACCGGAUCUCAGCCUUAUCAAUUGGCACUGUCUGUGGAAAAUGAAGAAGGAUUAUCUAAUCAAUCGGAGUUUUUCAAACAUAAACCCAUUGAGAUCCACCAUGGCAAAUCAAGAAAACAACCCAUCAAAAUCCAUUAGAGACGAAAAUCCAACCCUCGAAACCCUAAAUCCUUAAAGCUUUCCUAUGACGAUGUUUCCAUUUCCUCCCAUCCAAACAUUACCAAACACACCUUCCACCAGCAACCCCCUUAUGCAAACACAUAUAUCUAACCAGGAUCUGCAAGCGAUAUUCGUGUAACUGCAACAAAUGAUGAUGUGGAUGAAUCAAAUAAUGCAGCAAAGGGGUCUCACCUCGCCUAUGCCCACAAAUUUAACACCCAUCACAGCCCCCAAUCAAACACCUACGCCAACUUUUAUUCCAGAAACCGAAAAUUAUGACCGAACUACCAUGAUACACUUGACCCAGAAGAGAAGAGAAGGCAAGUCUGCCAGGGAACCUCCAGUCAAGUCUAGAAGUCGUACGGUAAGAAAUCAAAUAGAGAAAGAUACAGAUAGGCUGGAGAGGUACGAAGUAGAAAGCAAGGACAAGGGCACCAGUUCGAAAGCUCCCGUGUUUAGUGAAAAACCAGCAUAAAAGAUGAGGGAGUAGCGGAGAUGCUAGAAAAGCAUAAGAAUUAUUGGCGGAGUUAAAGAACCAAGUAGGAGCCCCCACAGGCCUAAGAACGACCUCUCCAUUUGUAGCACGUAUCCGGGAAGAGACUAUUUCUAAGAAGUUUCAAAUGCCAACCAUGGGUUCAUAUAACAGCAUGGGCAACCCCAAGGACCAUGUAAUCAACUAUAAAAUUUUUAUGGAGUUACAGACUCACUCUGAUGCCUUGCUUUGCAAAUUAUUCCCCACUAUCAUCACCGGUGCGGCUUUAACUUGGUUCAAUAACCUAGAGGCAGAAAGUAUCAAGACUUUUUCUGACAUGGCUAACUUGUUUAUGGAGAAAUUCAUAGCCAGCGUCCCAUCCCAAAGGAAAAUAAGUUAUUUGGAGACGGUGAGACAAAAGAAGGACGAGACCCUACAGGAAUAUGUUGUCCGUUUCAACACAGAAGCCCUCCAGAUCCCUAACCUGGAUGAACCUCGAGCAGUGGAAGCCAUGCAGAAGGAGACUACCUCGAUGGAGUUCUUUGGGUUCCUAAGCAGAAAACCACCAUCCACAUUAGCCAAGCUCAUGCAGAGAGCAAAAAAGCACAUCAGGUAGGAUGAUGCCCUCAUGACCAGUUGGUUUGCUAGAGAAUCCCAAGAAAGGGAUUAGAUGAAAAGCCGGCUGAAAGAUCGAAGGAAAGAGCAGGUAGAUCGAAGGAAAGAGCAGGUAUAUCGAAGGCUUGAUCGAAGUACCGGGGCCUUAAAUAGAUAUCGAGACAGUAGAGAAGCUGAUCGUCGAUCUAGGCCCCCUCUCCAUCGAGACAUUACCCCCUUUGAAUGUCUCCAUGGCAGAAGUAUUGGUCGCUGUGCAAGAUAAGAACCUGAUCACAUGUCAACAACCUUUGCAGUCGGACCCCAAAACCAAAGACCCCAACCAGUGUUACUAGUUCCACAAAACUAAUGGUCACGAUACGAAUAACUACUACCAGUUAAAGAAUAAAAUAUAAAAGCUAAUUAAAAGAGGCCAUUUGAAGAAUUUUGUGAAAAAAGGGGCAUCACCCAAAAACAGGCUAGAGGAGAGAAGGGAGCCCAUCAGGGAAAGGGCAAUAAGACUCGUUAAUGAUGGAUCCAGUGGGACCACAAAUCUAAUAGUGAGGGAAGAGACAGGACAACCCCUCUAAUCUAACAGAAAAAGAAGACGAGGUGGCAAGCUAAAAGAAGUGGAAGUCCUAUAAGUCAUUGAGCAUAUUCCAGGGGUAGUGAGUUUUUCAGCAGUCGACGGAGAAGUGGUCGAGAUUCCACAUGAUGAUACUCUAGUAGUAGAAGCCAUUAUCCACAAUUUUAGGGUCUAAAAGAUUUUGGUGAACGACAGAAGCAAGGGAAAUCUCCUUCCGCAUCAAGUUUUUAAAACCAUGAAGAUAGUAGACGAAAACAUGGUCAAAGACUAGACACUAGUGAAAGGCAUAAGCGGAGUGCUCGUACCCGUAGAAGGAAAAAUUAAGCUACUAAUGACUCUGGGAACACCACUGACCACUCAGACCCAGUAUGUCUAGUUUCUCAUAGUCAAAUUGCCGCUGGCAUACAAUGUCAUCCUGGGCCGACCGGUUUUGUAUGAUUUUGAGGUAUCCACAAGCAUCAAGUACUUGUGCAUGAAGUUCCCCACUAUAGCUGGGGUGGCUACUGUAAGGGAAAGGCAAGAGGAAUCUCGAUUGGUGUACCUGGCAACUAUGACAAAAGAAGAAAAUGAGGAUGUGCACAUGGAGGUUAUGGUGGUCAGGAUAAAGAAAAAGAGCAAAGAACCCAACCCACUGGAAAGGUUGAAAGUUUUGCCUUAAAUGAAGAGGAACCAAAAAAAAUUUUCAACAUGAAUGCGAACUUGACACGAGAGCAGAAAAUGACCAUGAAAGCCCUAGUCUGAGGUCAUGCUAACAUCUUUGCUUGGAAACCGGUCGACAUGUCAGGUAUCGACCCCCAGGUCAUGUCCCACCAACUGAAUGUGCAAUCAGAUGCAAGACCCGUGAGAUAGAAAAAGAGAAUAUAUGGAGCAGAAAAAAGAAAAGUUAUGAGGACGGAGGUAAAGAAGUUAGUAGAGGCUAAUUUUGUAAGGGAAGUGGCUUAUCUUGAAUGGUUAGCUAACCUCAUCCUUGUAAAAAAAUUCAAUGGGAAAUACUGCAUGUGUAUAGAUUUUACUGACAUGAAUAAGGCUUGUCUAAAGUAUUAUUAUCCUUUGCCUGACAUUAAUAAAUUGGUCGAUGCUAUGGCUGGAUUUGAGUAUUUGUCUUCUCUAGAUGCAAUGUCAGGAUAUCACCAAAUUCUCAUGCAUAAAACAGACAAGGAGAAGACUUCCUUUAUUACCGAGGAUGGGACCUACUGCUACCGGGAAAUGCCUUUUGGGCUGAAAAAUACGGGAGCAACCUAUUAGAGGUUGAUGAAUAGAAUUUUCAAAGACCAGAUAGGCUAGAUUGUAGAAGUGUAUGUAGACAAUGUCAUAAUCAAAAGUCGCUCCUUCAAAGAACACGUGGAAAACCUGAAAAUUUUUUUUGCGGUCCUUAAUCAAUAUUAGAUGAAACUCAAUCCGGCCAAGUGUGCAUUUUUUUAUUAAAGGCAGUAAGUUCCUGGGUUACAUGGUCAGUGCACGAGAAAUAGAACUGAACUUGGAGAAGGUCAAAGCCAUUCUUGAAAUGCUCGAACUAAGCUACAUCAGGGAUGUUCAGAAAUUAACAGGAAGGGUCAUAGCUCUAAAUCGAUUUAUGUCAAAGUCAGUAGAAAAAUGCCUACCGUUCUUCAAAAAAUUGAGAAAAUGCCCCUAUUUUGAAUGGACAGAGGAGUGUCGAUGAGCGUUUACAGAAUUAAAAAGCUACCUUAGCUCCCCAAAAGUGGCCAAGAAGACUUUUAUAUCUACCUAGCUACUUCUGACCAAGCGGUCAGUGCGAUCCAGGUACGAGAAGAACAUGGGGUCCAAAAAUCAAUCUUCUAUCUGAGUAAAAUUUUGAAGAAAGCAGAAAUCUGAUACCUCAAUAUUGAUGUCUGGUCGAAUGUUAGCCUGGUCGGUGGAAAUGAGACCCUACUGUUUGAAAUACAAACCACGAACGAUAAUAAAAAGCGCAGGCAUUAGUUGAUUUUAUAGCCGCUCAUUCAAUGGGGGAAGCUCGAAAAUGAAGGAAGGAGGGGAACAGAACAAAGAAGUCAGUGAAAACAACCACACUUACCUCUGGACCCUAUAUGUAGACAGGGCAGCUAGGCCCAAUCAAAGUGGAGCAAGAGCAAUACUAAGGGGCCAGACGGACUAGUUAUUUCGAAUUCCCUGCGUUUUAAUUUUCCCAUCACCAACAAUAUGGCUGACUAUGAGGCCUUGAUUAAUGGAAUGCAACUCGCCUUGGAAAUCAGAGUGAAUGACCUAAAUGUACUCAUCGAUUCGUAGUUGGUGGUUAACCGUGUCUGAGGAAUAUAUGAAGCCCGUGAUGAAACAAUGAAGCGAUACUUAACCCUGGUGCAAAAGUUGCAAACCGAGUUCAAAGCAAAAAACAUCCCACUUCAAGUAGAUCUUAUCCCGCAUGAACAGAAUGAAGAGGCUGACCUGCUAAGCCGAUUAACUUUGAAGGAAAUAGAGCAGUUGCUCCAGGAGGUACUCAUGAAGACCAUCUCGCAGCCCAAUUUUGAGAAACUAGUGCUAGUCAUGAAUGUUCACUCCGAGUCGAGCUGGAUGGAUCCGUUUAUCAAAUAUCUUGACCAAGGAAAACUACCCGCAGACAAAAAUGAGGCAAAGAAAAUCUCAGCCAAAGCAUAAAAUUACCUAUAAGAAAACGAUGUGCUAUUCAAAAGAGAGAAGUCUACACUAUGGCCCAAGUGUGUAGGGCAGAAGGAGGCCCAAGUCAUCAUCGAAGAAAUCCAUUAAGGCAUGUGUGGCACCCAUGAGGGGCAUCCACUCUAGUCAACAAAAUUUUCAGAUAGGGAUACUACUAGCCAACCCUAAAAGCAAAUGUGAAAAAAAUCAUAAAAAAGUGUGAUGUUUACCAGCGGUAUGGUAGGGGCAUCAACACCCCCCACAACAAAGCAAAUCGGAAUUGCAGCGCCAUGGCCUUUCUCUCAGUGGAAAAUUGACAUCCUCAGCCCUUUCCCUCAAACUACCAAUAAGCGAAAAUACGUGAUAGUCGUCGUAGAGUAUUUCUCGAAAUGGCCAAAAGCCAAAGCCGUCAGAAGCAUCACAUCCCAACAGAUGAUUGACUUUAUUUGGCGUAACAUCGUGUGUCGAUUCGGCAUACCCCGCACCCUCAUAUCAGAUAAGACGCGAGUGAUGGACAGGGUAUAGCGAAAUGGCUCAGCAUUUAUUAGCUGAUUACCCAUUAUAAAUGAGUCACUUGACAUUUCUGCCACAAUACUCUACCGUCAUGUCCGAUAGGACGAUAUGUUAGAACGCACCAAAGUGAUCAGGGUAUUAAUAACCCUGAACCAAUUACACAAAGGAACUUAUUUUUUAGUAAAGCUCAAAUCAUAGUAGCUUUGGACCCUCGAAGAAAAAAAGAAUUCUCAACAUCCUUAAACCUCGAAAAAUCAGUCUGAUCCCCUAUCCACUCUUAACCACCCAGUCAGAUUCAUUAACUUCCCCGUGAAUCAAAUCCUCACUUACGUGUCAUCAUCUCCUUGACCAACCGGAUCUCAGACUUAUCAGAUCAUAAAAGGAAGGUUGAUGACGUGACGAUAACGUCAAUAUGCCACGUCAGAUAUGACAUUGAUGUCAAUAUGGCACAUCAGAAUAUCUAACACCGUUAGCCAUUGAAUUCUCAAAUUAUUAAUGGUCUGAAAGUUUAGAUCCUAAAAUGUAACGAAAAUUACUUUAGUCCCUAAAAUUUAAAAGCGCAAAAAUACAAGUAAUUAAAGUAUACUUUUUCCUAAAAUGUUUAAUAGUAUUGCAUGUUUGUAUAAUUAAAGUAUACUUUUUCCUAAAAUGUUUAAUAGUACUGCAUGUUUGUAUAAUGAUGUGGGUUAUCUCAAGUUCUAAUGAGAGGUUUGUGGAAAAAUCAAGUGCUUAUCUUCGGUAUAAAAUGCAUGCAUUGUACGGCAGAAAGCUAAAAUUUGAGCUAUGUGUAUUGGCUAAAGAAAGAGAACUUUCAUCUGUGAAGCAUUGGGCUAAAAAAGAAAAAAGCAGGCAAAAUCCAGGAGUAAAUUGGAAAAGGGGAGAUGAAAUUAAUAAUUAUUUUCUUUUGUUGAUAGGAAACGUACAAUGGUAAAAGAAAAAACAUGGCUCAGUUUUUGUCCUUGCUAAUAUUAUAUUGCUGGUUGACGAGAGAUGGGCGUGUCAUUUCCCCACACCAAGUUGGGGAACAUAACGUCAUAACCUGGAAAAAUUAUAAUAUACAUAAUUUGAUAUAUAAAUAAAAAUUAUUAUUUAAAAAAAUGUUUGAUAUAUAUUUUUUCUUUUCAGUAUUCACUUUUCUUAAUUUUAGAGUAUAUUUUAAUACAAUUAUUCAAAUUUUAUUGGGUGUCACUCUAAAUUAACUGAAUUUCAUGAUCUUUUAGAUGUUCUCAAGAAUAAGUAAAAUAAAAUUUUCAGUGAAAUGGAAGAAUAAGAUGAUGGGUAUAUUUAUUUAAUAUAUACAAGCGGUCAAUAAAUAAGUAUUAUUUUAAUUAAAUUUAUAUUUUUUUCGUUUUAUAAUUUUUACUUAUUUUUUAUUUUUUAUUAUUUUAAAAUUAUUAUAAUUAUAAAAAAUAAUUAAUAUAUCUUAUCAAAUGGGUGUAUAAAUUCCUAGUAUACCUAAGAAAUUUUCAAUCUCACAUUCUAGGUGGCAUAGUAUUAAAAUAUGCACCGACUUGUUUGGCAUGCAAAUAAAGGAAAGCAAGCAAAACAGUCGGAAUACAAAACCCAAAAAUUAAUGACAUAAACCAACAAAACUGAGCCAAUUCCAUCAACCCUACAGCCAAAAUGUCAUCAUUGAUCCUUUGAAAUGGCAGAUUAAUGUCAUUUUAAACUCUUUUUUCAGGUUGGUAAGAUUGGCACAAAAGCUGAAAACUAUAAUAAUUAGAUUUUGUUUGUUUCAAAUUCUAUAUUUUCCGGAAAAUAAACACUGUAUUUUAAAUUUCUGAAACUUUUAAACAAAAUAACAUACAAACAAAUUGAAUCAAUUUCAUGUAAAGUUGAAGUUCAUGAGUUAACUUACCCAACCAAAUAAAGUCUAGAAACUAAUUCUCUACAAGUGGGGCUCCACCUAGAUGUGUGCUGCUGUUAUGUGGUCGGCAUCGGAGCCAACGGUCAGAAAGGGAGAAAAUCCAAUGAAUAGAGAGGUAGGUUGGAGGAAAAGGAAACUUGUGUUUGGAUCUCACCAUCAGCUUUCUCUAUUUUCUUCUUUGAGAAUAAAACAGUCCCAGACAAAUUGAUAUCUGGACAGGUUUUGCUUAACUUGCAGGCUACCGCAGGGCUAGAAAUUGCAAAAGAAUAUGUUUUUAUCUUUUUUUUUUU
rnacentral:lncRNA from 1 species